UGCCCUGUCUCAGAUUUUUAGGUUCUAUUAGUGUCUCAAAGUCAUGCACCCUGCCUUUCCAUGGAUCUGUAGCUGCUUCUCGAGCCUGCCUGUAACCUCUCCCUCCUCCUUUAAAUCUUCAUCCCGGUGUGCAAGGUGGGUCGGCUGAUGUUCCUACCUGUACAUCCAAGGAGAAGGCAUGAAACCAGUGGAAGAUGGAUUCACGAGGCCGAGCAGCUACAUGCAGAGGUUUGUCAGUGUCCUGGAUGACAGCACCUGCUGAGAUUCUAACCAACAGCCAGUGUCAACUGCCAGCCCUGUGAUUGAACACCUUGCCUUUGUCAUGCCAUCCCAGUUGGUGAUUCGUGGAAUAGAGUUGAUGCUUCUCUGCUGUCUCCUGCCCAGACAGCUAAAUAAAUUAUUAUUGUUUUAAGAGA